rnacentral:tRNA from 1 species
UAGCUCAGUUGGUUAGAGCGUGGUGCUGAUAAUACCAAGGCCGCUGGUUCAAUCCCCGU